AUUGAACGCUGGCGGCAUGCCUUACACAUGCAAGUCGAACGGUAACGGGCCUUCGGGUGCCGACGAGUGGCGAACGGGUGAGUAAUACAUCGGAACGUGCCCGAUCGUGGGGGAUAACGAGGCGAAAGCUUUGCUAAUACCGCAUACGAUCUACGGAUGAAAGCCGGGGACCGCAAGGCCUUGCGCGGACGGAGCGGCCGAUGGCAGAUUAGGUAGUUGGUGGGAUAAAAGCUUACCAAGCCGACGAUCUGUAGCUGGUCUGAGAGGAUGAUCAGCCACACUGGGACUGGGACACGGCCCAGACUCCUACGGGAGGCAGCAGUGGGGAAUUUUGGACAAUGGGCGCAAGCCUGAUCCAGCCAUGCCGCGUGCAGGAUGAAGGCCUUCGGGUUGUAAACUGCUUUUGUACGGAACGAAAAGCCUUCUUUUAAUACAGGAGGGUCAUGACGGUACCGUAAGAAUAAGCACCGGCUAACUACGUG
rnacentral:rRNA from 1 species